CGAAGGGUGCAAGCGUUAAUCGGAAUUACUGGGCGUAAAGGGAGCGUAGGCGGCUUUUUAAGUCGGAUGUGAAAUCCCCGGGCUUAACCUGGGAAUGGCAUCCGAUACUGGGGAGCUAGAGUUUGGGAGAGGGUGAUGGAAUUCCCGGUGUAGCGGUGAAAUGCGUAGAGAUCGGGAGGAACAUCAGUGGCGAAGGCGGUCACCUGGCCUAAAACUGACGCUGAAGCUCGAAAGCGUGGGGAGCAAACAGGAUUAGAUACCCUGGUAGUCCACGCCCUAAACGAUGAGAACUGGACGUUGGGAGGAAUUUGCCUCUUAGUGUCGAAGCUAACGCGUGAAGUUCUCCGCCUGGGGAGUACGCUCGCAAGAGUG
rnacentral:rRNA from 1 species